GGCGGACGGGUGAGUAACGCGUGGGUAACCUGCCCUGUACACACGGAGUAACAUACCGAAAGGUAAUGCUAAUACGAGAUAAUAUACUUUUAUCGCAUGGUAGAAGUAUCAAAGCUUUUGCGGCACAGGAUGGACCCGCGUCUGAUUAGCUAGUUGGUAAGGUAACGGCUUACCAAGGCGACGAUCAGUAGCCGACCUGAGAGGGUGAUCGGCCACAUUGGAACUGAGACACGGUCCAAACUCCUACGGGAGGCAGCAUG
rnacentral:rRNA from 1 species